CAGUCGCCGCGGGAAUACGAAGGGUGCAAGCGUUACUCGGAAUUACUGGGCGUAAAGCGUGCGUAGGUGGUGGUUUAAGUCCGUUGUGAAAGCCCUGGGCUCAACCUGGGAAUUGCAGUGGAUACUGGGUCACUAGAGUGUGGUAGAGGAUAGUGGAAUUUCCGGUGUAGCAGUGAAAUGCGUAGAGAUCGGAAGGAACAUCUGUGGCGAAGGCGACUAUCUGGGCCAACACUGACACUGAGGCACGAAAGCGUGGGGAGCAAACAGGAUUAGAGACCCGCGUAGUCCCUGUCUCUUAUAC
rnacentral:rRNA from 1 species